rnacentral:rRNA from 1 species
AGGAUGAACGCUGGCGGCGUGCCUAAAACAUGCAAGUCAUACGGGCUACCUUCGGGUAGCCAGUGGCAAACGGGUGAGUAACACGUGGGAACACGCCUUCGAGUGGGGAAUAACGCUGAGAAAUCAGUGCUAAUACCGCAUAUGGUCUAACGACUAAAGCAGCAAUGCGCUCGGAGAGUGGCCCGCGACCGAUUAGCUAGUUGGUGGGGUAAUGGCCUACCAAGGCGGUGAUCGGUAGCUGGUCUGAGAGGAUGGUCAGCCACACUGGGACUGCGAACGGCCCAGACUCCUACGGGAGGCAGCAGUUAGGAAUUUUCGGCAAUGGACGAAAGUCUGACCGAGCGACGCCGCGUGGAGGAUGAAGCCUUUCGGGGUGUAAACUCCUUUUCUGCGGGAAGAUAAUGACGGUACCGCAGGAAUAAGCACCGGCUAACUACGUGCCAGCAGCCGC